UUUCCGUAGGUGAACCUGCGGAAGGAUCAUUAUCGUACAAUAAGUGAGGGGCAUGCGAGGGCUGUUGCUGACCCUUAAGUCGUGCAAGCCCGCGUGUGUCCAUUUGCAUAAUAAUCCAUCUCACCCUUUGUGCAUCGCUGCGUGGGUACCCUUCGGGAUCAUCUCGUAGGGGGGCUCGCGUUUUCACACAAAUCCACCCUUUAAAAGUGUAGAAUGACGACAUUUAUGUCAUUUAUACAACUUUCAACAACGGAUAUCUUGCCUCUGGCAUCGAUGCAA
rnacentral:misc_RNA from 1 species